UGAUAGGUCUCGAUAUUGGAGAUCCUAUAAAAACGAUCAUGGGAAGUAUCUCGGGGGAACUCAGGAAAAACCCGACAAGGGAGAAGACGCAAGAGGAGAAGAGAAUUUUGCCUAACGAUCGUCUAUCGCCUUUGUUUUUCGUCUCCGUCGUUUCGUCGGAACUGACUUUCUAUUGCUGUGACUAUCGCCGAUGCAGACUUUUCAACCAUUUUUCUACAUCUGAACUUUUCUCGAGAGGCGUCUCCUUAAUCGUGCUACCCGAAGGCAAAAGUGAAGGAAUCCUGACUCCUCUCCAACGAACUUUACAGACCAACAACCGCUGACGCCCCUGAAUCGGAAUAUCGAGUAUACUCCUCACCUACCAGGUAUUUAACAAAAUGUCGG
rnacentral:lncRNA from 1 species